rnacentral:rRNA from 1 species
GACGAACGCUGGCGGCGUGCCUAAUACAUGCAAGUCGAGCGGACGGAUGGGAGCUUGCUCCCAGACCGUCAGCGGCGGACGGGUGAGUAACACGUGGGCAACCUGCCUGUGAGACUGGGAUAACUCCGGGAAACCGGGGCUAAUACCGGAUAACUCUUUCCCUCACAUGAGGGAAAGCUGAAAGAUGGCAUCUCGCUAUCACUUACAGAUGGGCCCGCGGCGCAUUAGCUAGUUGGUGAGGUAACGGCUCACCAAGGCGACGAUGCGUAGCCGACCUGAGAGGGUGAUCGGCCACACUGGGACUGAGACACGGCCCAGACUCCUACGGGAGGCAGCAGUAGGGAAUCUUCCGCAAUGGACGAAAGUCUGACGGAGCAACGCCGCGUGAGUGAUGAAGGUUUUCGGAUCGUAAAACUCUGUUGUCAGGGAAGAACAAGUACCGGAGUAACUGCCGGUACCUUGACGGUACCUGACCAGAAAGCCACGGCUAACUACGUG